GUCAGAUCCAUGGAGCCCACUGUGCUGAGUGUGGUUGGAUCAGCUGGACAGGGGCAGUUAAACAAGGAUCUGGAAGAGCAAAGGGCUUGAGUCAGAAGCAAGGGAGCAGCACACAGUGAGCAAGGCUGAGAAGAUGCAUAGAAAUGUGGUGUGCACGUGAUGCUAGGAAUGGCCCUCAGCAUUUGCUUCCUAAUAUUUAGCUCCUGGUGCACAUAGCUUUGUGUGUGUGUGUGUGUGUGUGAGAGAGAGAGAGAGAGAGAGAGAGAGAGAGAGAGAGGAGAGAGAGAGAAUGGGAAUCAAGAGAAAAGGAAGGAAAGAAAAAAAAAAAGGAACUGCACAAAAUACCGAAAUGGUUAUGUUUCCUGGCUGGUGUCCAAGUGUGCGUGAGGAGCUCUGGUGGCAUUUGGUCUUCGAUAAGGGACAGUCAGGUGGUGCUUUGUGACCUGCUCCUGAGAUUUAGAGGAGUCACUCAGAGAGGCACUUGCCUGCUCUCAGCCCUCAGUCUUGUGUCUCUCCUCGAUAAGAAUUUGCUGAUGCAACGUAAGCCUUGACAUUUGCUGAGGAGGAGAAAGUAUUUCUGAUAUCAGAAUCUUUCCAAAAUUUUAGGCAGAUCUAGGGUGAGCUCCUGGCUACUUGGGUACUUUUGAAGCAAGAGAACAUCUUUGUUGGUGGAACUGUGAAGAUGGUUAAGACCCAUCAGCAGCCAGGGUCAGGGGCAGUGGGGAACCUCUGCAGCUGUUGCAUGUAAAAGAAUCUUCACCAAUAAAAAAAAAUCCUGUGAUCCCUCCCUCAUGGACUCUGCUUUUUGCAGGGGGUCGGGGAGGGGGGACCACCAACAAACUUUAAAACCCAUUGCAUAAAGAAGCCCGCACACUUUCACAUGUGCGACCCAGCUGGGAUGCUUGUUAACAAUGCAGAGCCCUGGGCCCCACCUCUUGAGACCUGGAGUGGAGCCCCAGACUCUGCAGAUUCAUAAGCUUGGCAGGUGCCAGAGCUGGGAGCACCACAGAGAGGCUCAGCUGUCGAUACCAGCGCACCCGCCCUCUGAGAGAGCAACCAAUGGGCAUGAGGCUCACCCAAGGGGAAGCCUUAAGAAACCCAGAGAACAGAAGAUCUUCGGGCCCCCUCUGGAAACUCCUGGCGAAGCUAACGUCGGCCGUGUGAUGUGGGAACAGAGCGGUUGUUCCCACAACUGUUCUUGCCAUCACCAACAGCUCCACAAUUCUGCUCAUGCAUUCAUUCAGAAUUCUUAGGUGGAUCACAUCCUGUCUGGGUGAUUUAUUGAUAUCUGUUUGUCAGCCAAGACUAGAACCUUCUGUGUGUUUCCUACGCUUGUAUUGAAUGCCCCAACCUGCUCAUUUCAAGGACACACAUCUUCCUUGGUAAAGGGCAAGGCAAACUUUUAAAUCCAUUUCAUUUCUGUGUCUUGAUCCUUUCCUCUGUGUGUUCCACAGAUGCCCCAUGUUUCUGGUUUUUGUUUUUGACUUUUUUUUUUUUUUUGGAGUUUCUUGCAAGGUGCUGUUUAACGGAUCAUAGGACUGCAGAAACUGGCUCAAACAGCUUGGUCUAAAGAUGAAACUAAUAAAGUUGACAGAAGUUCUG
rnacentral:lncRNA from 1 species